rnacentral:rRNA from 1 species
UACAGGGGGGGCAAGCGUUGUUCGGAAUUACUGGGCGUAAAGGGCUCGUAGGUGGCCAACUAAGUCAGACGUGAAAUCCCUCAGCUUAACUGGGGAACUGCGUCUGAUACUGGAUGGCUUGAGUUUGGGAGAGGGAUGCGGAAUUCCAGGUGUAGCGGUGAAAUGCGUAGAGAUCCGGAAGAACACCGGUGGCGAAGGCGGCCUGCUGGGCAGUUGCUGACACUGAGGCGCGACAGCGUGGGGAGCAAACAGG